rnacentral:rRNA from 1 species
ACGGGUGAGUAACACGUGGAUAACCUACCUAUAAGACUGGGAUAACUUCGGGAAACCGGAGCUAAUACCGGAUAAUAUUUUGAACCGCAUGGUUCAAAAGUGAAAGACGGUCUUGCUGUCACUUAUAGAUGGAUCCGCGCUGCAUUAGCUAGUUGGUAAGGUAACGGCUUACCAAGCCAACGAUGCAUAGCCGACCUGAGAGGGUGAUCGGCCACACUGGAACUGAGACACGGUCCAG